rnacentral:sRNA from 1 species
GAGUGGUCGGUGUAGCCUGUCGACACGGCC